rnacentral:rRNA from 1 species
CGGAGAGUGCGAACGUUGUUCGGAUUCACUGGGCGUAAAAGGGCACGUAGGCGGCUCGGCAAAUCGGUCGUGGAAUCCCGACGCUUACCGUCGGAACGGCGGCCGAAAAUACCGGGCUCGAGGGCGUGAGGGGGUCACUGGAACUCCUGGUGAAGCGGUGAAAUGCGUAGAUAUCAGGAGGAACGCCGGAGGCGAAAGCGAGUGACUGGCGCGUUCCUGACGCUGAGGUGCGAAAGCUAGGGGGAGCAAAACAGGAUUAGAUACCCUGGUAGUCCUAGCCGUAAACGAUGGACACUGAGUGGGGGAGGGCUUGCCUUUCCCUGCUGCAGCUAACGCGUUAAGUGUCCCGCCUGGGGAGUACGGCCGCAAGGUUA